UACGUAGGGAGCAAGCGUUAUCCGGAUUUAUUGGGUGCAAAGGGUGCGUAGACGGGAUUACAAGUUGGUUGUGAAACCCCUCAGCUCAACUGAGGAACUGCAACCAAAACUAUAAUUCUUGAGUGCAGGAGAGGAAAGUGGAAUUCCUAGUGUAGCGGUGAAAUGCGUAGAUAUUAGGAAGAACACCGGUGGCGAAGGCGACUUUCUGGACUGUAACUGACGUUGAGGCACGAAAGUGUGGGGAGCAAACAGG
rnacentral:rRNA from 1 species